UACGUAGGGUGCGAGCGUUAAUCGGAAUUACUGGGCGUAAAGCGCGUGUAGGCGGCCCUGCAAGUCGGAUGUGAAAUCCCACGGCUCAACCGUGGAAGUGCAUUCGAAACUGCAGGGCUAGAGUCCUGGAGAGGAAGGUGGAAUGCUUGGUGUAGAGGCGAAAUUCGUAGAUAUCAAGCGGAACACCGGUGGCGAAGGCGGCCUUCUGGACAGUGACUGACGCUGAGACGCGAAAGCGUGGGGAGCAAACAGG
rnacentral:rRNA from 1 species